CGUGCUAUGGUGGGGCGUGGGAGAGGCCAGGUUGGUCGUGGAACGGGCGUCGAAGGAAGACACGGGCGUGUACUUGUGCAAGGCUUCCAACAGCGUGACGACAGCUCCUCCUGCUGUCACUGCGCUCGUCGUCACACAGCCGCCAACGACACCAAAGGAAUAUCAAAGCGUCAGAGGGUGGGCGGCGAUCGGAGGCAACGGAUAUCUGAAGUGCCACGUGACGGCGGCGCCCACGCCCACCUUCUCGUGGUCGGUGAACGGCGAGGCUUUCGUGCCGAAUAAGAGCAAGUAUUUCGUCCAUCAUCCGGAGCUGACGGACGGUGUGGCUCUCUGGAUUUCUGUGCUCGAGGUGAGGCGAGUGACAGACAGGGACUACACCAGCUACACUUGCAAAGCCCACAAUACUGAAGGUGAACACUCGCUCAGCCUCACACUUGGACCUCCUCUGCCACCUC